CGACGUGAGGAACCUGCCUUUCAGAGGGGGACAACAGUUGGAAACGACUGCUAAUACCGCAUAACGCAUGGGUAUCGCAUGGUAUCUGUGCCAAAGAUUUAUCGCUGAGAGAUGGCCUCGCGUCUGAUUAGCUAGUUGGUGAGGUAACGGCCCACCAAGGCGACGAUCAGUAGCCAGACUGAGAGGUUGGCCGGCCACAUUGGGACUGAGACACGGCCCAAACUCCUACGGAAGGCAGCAG
rnacentral:rRNA from 1 species